rnacentral:misc_RNA from 1 species
AUAACUGAAAACUUGGCAGGUACACAUAAAAUGGUAGCAAAUUAUUGGAAUUUAACAGAACUUAAUAUUAUGGACAGACUUUUACUAAUAUAUUAACAAAAGUCCUCUAAUUAUCCAGGUACAAAUUUCAAGUAACUAUUAGCAUGGACAUGACUUAGUCCAAAACAAUUUUAAAAGUUUGAAGUGAAGAAAGAAUGGAUUAAUCUCAUGUACGAAAAACAAAACAAAUUAGCAAAAUUUUAAAAAGAAAAAGAAAAGGAGUGAGCUAACUAAUGCAUGCAUAAUAAGCUCACUUAAGCGGAAUAGUCCUUCUCUUCUGGGUAAAGUCAAAAUUUGAUAACUUUCAAGACCAUUUUUCUCAGAAAACAAACAGAGCAGAGCAGAGAAAUUCACAAAAAAAUCAAAAAUCAAAAAGAAAAAUCAGAAUACUAACAUUUUUCAAGCAAUUAUAAGGGCAGAAAAGAAAGAAAUCACACAGGCUUAUAUUAAAAGCAGAAGAAGAGCUCAAUUUUUUGGAAAUGGAAAAUUG